GGGGGUGUAGCUCAGUUGGGAGAGCGCCUGCCUUGCACGCAGGAGGUCAUCGGUUCAAGCCCGUUCACCUCCA
rnacentral:tRNA from 1 species